rnacentral:lncRNA from 1 species
UCUUUUUACUUAUAUAAAUACAAAAGUUAUAAUUCGAAAACAAUCCGUCUUCGGACGAUGUGAUACCAAUAUACAACCAUAUUUUUUUUUUUUUUUUGCGGCCGUAUAAAAAAGAAUGAAGUCAGUGGGAUUAAGAAAAGCAUGAAAUGUCCAUAGACUCGAACUGGUCUUACCUUUUUAGCUUGCCAAUAUUUCAUUAUGUUUUAAAUCAUUGUCUUAUUGGUCAAUGUUUACAAACUCCUGAUGUACAAAAUUCCAAUUAGGAUGUGUAUUCGAAAGUUGACUUUGCGCAUGUGUGUACAUGGUGAAAAUAGAAGAAAACUUACAGAGGCUUGAAAUGGGGAAAAUGGUCCUGAUUUUAUGUUUGGUGAUGAAAUAAAG